UGAGCAUUUAGAAGUCUGUAGUCCACUGA
rnacentral:piRNA from 1 species